rnacentral:misc_RNA from 1 species
AAAAUAUUUGUGCCAUAAGAAAUUGAUUGAUAGAAGUGAUAUGGUAUAUUUGGAUAAACAAUGUAUUUUCAGUUAGCUAUAAAGUCAAAGUGGUAUGGCCAUGCAAUGGAGUUUGACAUUUCUUGGUGCCCUUGAUUGAGCCUCAAAUCGAUGAGGUUUCCAAAUCCCAUACAUGUAUAAUACUAUUGCAUUAUUUCCCUUUCCACUCAUUUUUGUACCUUGUCCUUGCUCGAUGCUUCAUAUAAAUAAUUCAGUUCAGGGUAUGAUAACUGCACCAAACUGUACAAAUAAUUCAGUU